rnacentral:rRNA from 1 species
AUUGAACGCUGGCGGCAUGCUUUACACAUGCAAGUCGAACGGUAACAGGCCGCAAGGUGCUGACGAGUGGCGAACGGGUGAGUGAUGCAUCGGAACGUGCCCAGUCGUGGGGGAUAACGCAGCGAAAGCUGUGCUAAUACCGCAUACGAUCUAUGGAUGAAAGCGGGGGACCGUAAGGCCUCGCGCGAUUGGAGCGGCCGAUGUCAGAUUAGGUAGUUGGUGGGGUAAAGGCCUACAAAGCCGACGAUCUGUAGCUGGUCUGAGAGGACGACCAGCCACACUGGGACUGAGACACGGCCCAGACUCCUACGGGAGGCAGCAGUGGGGAAUUUUGGACAAUGGGCGCAAGCCUGAUCCAGCAAUGCCGCGUGCAGGAAGAAGGCCUUCGGGUUGUAAACUGCUUUUGUACGGAACGAAACGGUCUGGGUUAAUACCCUGGGCUAAUGACGGUACCGUAAGAAUAAGCACCGGCUAACUACGUGCCAGCCGCCGCCGUAACAC